AUUAAGUUACAUGUGGGUGGGUGCCGUAACAGUGCAGCAACCAUUCUGCUAGCUUGUGCAAGAGUUUAAAAGUGGUGAAACUUUUAUUUGGAUAAUCGAAUUGGUUGAGGAGUCUAACAAGUGAUAGUAGCUAAAGAGGCUAGAGGGACGCUAGAAAAAGAACAAACCAUGAGCGUAUGAAAUUACUUUAAAACAAUACCCCAUGCCCCAUGAACUAUUAUUCUUCUUCCUCUCUUGUAGAUGAGGCAUUCGGUAUCUUCCUCUACUUUAUCUUCUUCAGUGUCCUUCACUACUACAACUUCUCCAAGCUUCCUUCCAAAUUAUGCUAUCUAUUUCACAUUACGGGGCUUCCGAUUCAACUAAUUUUAAACACAGAAUCCAAAGCCUGCUUGACAACAAAAUGCACAUCUAGAGGAAAUCAGAUUCACCAAAUUCUAAAAAUUAGAAAUCUCAACUUGCCUUUAUUUUAAGCUUCUCACAUCCCACCAUUUUCAUCCAAAGCCUGCUAGACAACCAAAUGCACAUCUAAUCAGAGAUAAAGGAAAACUUGAGGGAUACGUAUAUUUGGAAGCAAUAUGAUCCUGACAUACAUUAUGUGUAUGGUCCUCACUCUUGAGAUGCGUGUUGAAAUCUUCAAAGCUUUGGCCAGCAAAAUCGCACAUUGAGCAGCACGACCAGGGAGACUCACCCGUUUCACUUCACUUGUCCUGAAGAACAAGUCUUGUUGUCAACUUUUUAUCCCCUGCAGACCCUGA